GAUGAACGCUGGCGGCGUGCCUAAUACAUGCAAGUCGAGCGAACGGACGAGAAGCUUGCUUCUCUGAUGUUAGCGGCGGACGGGUGAGUAACACGUGGAUAACCUACCUAUAAGACUGGGAUAACUUCGGGAAACCGUAGCUAAUACCGGAUAAUAUUUUGAACCGCAUGGUUCAAAAGUGAAAGACGGUCUUGCUGUCACUUAUAGAUGGAUCCGCGCUGCAUUAGCUAGUUGGUAAGGUAACGGCUUACCAAGGCAACGAUGCAUAGCCGACCUGAGAGGGUGAUCGGCCACACUGGAACUGAGACACGGUCCAGACUCCUACGGGAGGCAGCAGUAGGGAAUCUUCCGCAAUGGGCGAAAGCCUGACGGAGCAACGCCGCGUGAGUGAUGAAGGGCUGCGGAUCGUAAAACUCCGUUAUUAGGGAAGAACAUAUGUGUAAGUAACUGUGCACAUCUUGACGGUACCUAAUCAGAAAGCCACGGCUAACUACGU
rnacentral:rRNA from 1 species